AUUGAACGCUGGCGGCAUGCCUAAUACAUGCAAGUCGAGCGGAUGAAGGGAGCUUGCUCCUGGAUUCAGCGGCGGACGGGUGAGUAAUGACUAGGAAUCUGACUGGUAGUGGGGGAUAACGUCAGGUCACGGGAGCUAAUAUCGCACACGUCAUGAGUGUGAAAGGGGGGGUUCUUCGGACCUCAAGCUAUCAGAUGAGCCUAGGUCGGAUUAGCUAGUUGGUUAGGUAAAGGCCUACCAAGGCGACGAUCCGUAGCUGGUCUGAGAGGAUGAUCAGUCACACUGGAACUGAGACACGGUCCAGACUCCUACGGGAGGCAGCAGUAGGGAAUAUUGGACAAUGGGCGAAAGCCUGAUCCAGCAAUGCCGCGUGUGUGAAGAAGGUCUUCGGAUUGUAAAACACUGUAAGUUGGGAGGAAGAGCUGUAAAAGUAUCCCUUGCUAUCUUGACGUUACCAACAGAGUAAGCACCGGCUAACUUCGUG
rnacentral:rRNA from 1 species